AGUGGUAUAACUGGGUCAAAUGGUAUUUCCAUUCCUAGUUUUUUUGAGGAAUCUCCAUAUUUCUUUCCACAGUGGUUGUACUAAUUUGCAGUCCCAUCAGCAAU
rnacentral:pre_miRNA from 1 species